GGCUCCACCAUACUUAUUUACGCGAAGAUAGAGAUAUUUAACAAUUUAGUAUAGAAAUAGACUUAAGAAAAUAAGUGCAAGCGGUGGAUGCCUUGGCAUUCAGAGGCGAUGAAGGACCGUGUUAAUCUGCGAUAAGCUUCGGGGAGCUGGUAAAUAAGCUUUGAUCCGGAGAUUUCCGAAUGGGGGACCCACCUGGCAUAAGCUGGGUACUCACUCGAUAUGGAGUGUAGAGCGAACGAGGGGAACUGAAACAUCUAAGUACCCUUAGGAAGAGAAAUCAAUUGAGAUUCCCAUAGUAGUGGCGAGCGAAGUGGGAAGAGCCUGGUAUGAUUUAGCUGUAAUUAUAGUAGAACAAGUUGGGAAGCUUGACGAUAGAGGGUGAUAGUCCCGUAUACGAAAUAAUCACAGUGGAACUAAGCAUGCGAACAAGUAGGACGGGGCACGUGGAACCUUGUCUGAAUAUGGGGGGACCAUCCUCCAAGGCUAAAUACUCCUGAAUGACCGAUAGUGAACUAGUACCGUGAGGGAAAGGUGAAAAGAACCCUUAUAAAGGGAGUGAAAUAGAAUCUGAAACCGCUUGCAUACAAGCAGUAGGAGCAUGAUUUAGUCAUGUGACUGCGUACCUUUUGUAUAAUGGGUCAGCGAGUUACUUUUAGUGGCGAGGAUAACUGAAUAAGGGAUCCGUAGCGAAAGCGAGUUUUAAUAGGGCGAUAAGUCGCUAGGAGUAGACCCGAAACCGGCGCGAUCUAUCCAUGGCCAGGUUGAAGGUUGGGUAAUACCAACUGGAGGACCCGAACCCAAUACUGUUGCAAAAGUAUGGGAUGAGCUGUGGAUCGGAGUUGAAAGGCUAAUCAAGCACGGAGAUAGCUGGGUCUUCCCGAAAACUAUUUAGGUAGUGCCCUCGUGUAUAACUCAAUUGGGGUAAAAGCACUGUUUCGACAAUGGGGGUUUUACCGACCUUUCUGGCUCGAUGCAAACUCAGAAUCCCAUGAAGUUUAAUCACGGGAGACACACUUGGGGUGGCUAAGGUCCCCAAUGGAAAGGGAACCAGCCCAAACCGGCAACUAAGGGCCCUAAGUCUUAACUAAGUGGGAAACGAAGUGGGAAGGCCCAGACAGCCAGGAGGUUGGCUUAGAAGCAGCCACCCUUUAAAGAAAGCGUAAUAGCUCACUGGUCGAGUCGGCCUGCACGUAAGAUUUAACGGGGCUAAGUUAUGCACCGAAGUUGCGGAAUAUAUUUAGUAUAUUGGUAGGGGAGCGUUCUGUAAGCUGAUGAAGGUAUGUUGAGAAGCAUGCUGGAGGUAUCAGAAGUGCGAAUGCUGACAUGAGUAACGUAAAAUAAGUGAGAUUCUUAUUGGCCGAAAACCCAAGGAUUCCUACGCAAUGUUAAUCAACGUAGGGUAAGCCGGCCCCUAAGGCGUAGCUGAAGAGUGAAGUCGAUGGGAAACAGGUUAAUAUUCCUGUGCCGCUUAUAUGAACGAAGGAGGGACGGAGAAGGUUAGGUAGGCCUGGCGAAUGGUUGUCCAGGUGAAAGUAUGUAGGUAGGAAUGCUAGGCAAAUCCGGUGUUCUGUUGAUCUGAGAUACGAGACGAAGUCAAACUUGUUUGACGAAGCUAUUGAUACCAUGCUUCCAGGAAAAGCUUCUAAGUAUAUUGUAUAAGCGACCGUACUGUAAACCGACACUGGUGGGUGGUAGAGAAUACUAAGGCUAUGAGAUAACUCUGGUGAAAGGAACUAGGCAAAAUGACACCGUAACUUUGGAAGAAGGUGUGCCCUUGAUGGUGAUGAGACUUGCUCUCUUAAGCUGUUGGGGGUUGCAAAUACCAGGUGGCUGCGACUGUUUAUCAAAAACACAGCACUCUGCUAAAUCGUAAGAUGAAGUAUAGGGUGUGACGCCUGCCCGGUGCUGGAAGGUUAAUUGAAGGGGUUAGCGCAAGCGAAGCUCUGGAUCGAAGCCCCAGUAAACGGCGGCCGUAACUAUAACGGUCCUAAGGUAGCGAAAUUCCUUGUCGGGUAAGUUCCGACCUGCACGAAUGGCGUAACGACGGCCACACUGUCUCCACCAGAGACUCAGUGAAAUUGAAAUCGCUGUGAAGAUGCAGUGUACCCGCGGUUAGACGUAAAGACCCCGUG
rnacentral:rRNA from 1 species